GCCCCGGUAGCUCAGCUGGAUAGAGCGUCCCCCUCCUAAGGGGAAGGUCAUAGGUUCGAAUCCUAUCCGGGGUGCCA
rnacentral:tRNA from 1 species